CCUACGGGCGGCAGCAGUGAGGAAUAUUGGUCAAUGGUCGGAAGACUGAACCAGCCAAGCCGCGUGAGGGAGGAAGGUACAGAGUAUUGUAAACUUCUUUUGUCCGGGAACAAAGAUUGGUACGUGUCUUCGGAUGAGUGUACCUGAAGAAUAAGGAUCGGCUAACUCCGUGCCAGCAGCCGCGGUAAUACGGAGGAUCCGAGCGUUAUCCGGAUUUAUUGGGUUUAAAGGGUGCGGAGGCGGAUUGAUAAGUUAGCGGUCAAAGGCCCGGGCUUAACUCGGGGACUGCCUUUGAAACUGUCGAUCUAGAGUGGAGGAGCGGUAGGCGGAAUGCGCGGUGUAGCGGUGAAAUGCAUAGAGAUCACGCAGAACACCGAUUGCGAAGGCAGCUUACCAGCUCAUCACUGACGUUGAGGCACGAAAGCGUGGGGAGCGAACAGGAUUAGAUACCCGGGUAGUC
rnacentral:rRNA from 1 species